AACCAUUCUCACCUGCGGCUAGACCUGCGGAAGGAUCAUUACAGAGUGUAACCCCCUGUAAAAUGGGGGUACCUCCCGUCCUUUGCAGGCCCUUUAGGGUCUUUUACACUUUGCUUCGGUGGGGUAACCCACCGGAACACUCUCAAAAAAUUCUGAUUUUAAAAUUGUUCAGUCUGAGAAUUUUGAAAAUAAAAUAAAAACUUUCAACAACGGAUCU
rnacentral:misc_RNA from 1 species